GCUGGGCGUGGUGGCACGUGCCUGUAGUCCCAGCUACUUGGGAGGCUGAGGCAGGAGAAUUGCUUGAACCCGGGAGGCAGAGGUUGCAGUGAGCCGAUAUCAUGCCACUGCACUCCAGCCUGGGUAACAGAGCGAGACUCUGUCUCAA
rnacentral:sRNA from 1 species